rnacentral:lncRNA from 1 species
CUAAUCACCUUUCCCCAAUACCUCUUAGGCCUCCCUCUGCCUCGUCGAACGCCGACAAUCGCCAGCCGCUCACAACUCCUCACCGGGGCAUCAGGACUUCUCCUCCGCACAUGCCCGAACAAUCUCAGCCUUGCUUCUUGCAUCUUCUCAUCCACCGGGGCCACGCCCACCUUCUCUCGAAUAACUUCAUUCUUAAUCUUAUCUAACCUGGUGAGCCUGCACAUCCACCUGAGCAUCCUCA